UACGGGGGGAGCAAGCGUUAUCCGGAUUUACUGGGCGUAAAGGGCGCGUAGGCGGCCAGCGCAAGUCAGUUGUGAAAUCUCCGGGCUUAACUCGGAACGGUCAACUGAUACUGCGCGGCUAGAGUGCAGAAGGGGCAACUGGAAUUCUCGGUGUAGCGGUGAAAUGCGUAGAUAUCGAGAGGAACACCUGCGGCGAAGGCGGGUUGCUGGGCUGACACUGACGCUGAUGCGCGAAAGCCAGGGGAGCGAACGGG
rnacentral:rRNA from 1 species